UGGGGAAGCAGCUCUUGUCCUCGGUGAGCAAGCUGGGGGUGUGGUGCUGCCCGUGGUGAGCAGACGGAAGUCGCUGUGGGUGGCGGUGGGUUUGAGGUGCCAGAGACUGAGUGAUGUGGCCAGGAGGUGAGCACUUGCAUCUGCAGGCCUGGUCAGCAGGAGACGGGGUACAAAAAGAUUCGGGGGAGUGUGGCUUGAUCUGGAGAUUCAUAUCUCUUGGUCACUGGUACUGGGGCAUAUGGGACCAGGAACUGGAAUAGAACAGGAGGAGAAACUGAGGCAAGGCUUGGGAAAGACAGGGCAAACUGAAAAAAAAAAAAAGGCAUGUGGAGGAGUGUCCAGUUGGGUGUGGAAGAGGGCGAGAGCCUGUGAGCAAGGCCUGUGGGAGAUUGAGAAAGAGGUUCUGGGAAUGUUGAGUAGUGUCUUCUGGUUGGCAUGGGGGUAGGGCUAGCUAGGCUCCCAGGGUAGGAGGCUCCAACUCAGGCCUCCAAGGUGUGAGCUUCAGUUCUGCACAGGCAAGAGCUAAGGAAGACUUGCAGGUAGGGAGAGACACAAGAAGCCAAGAGGUGGGACAGCUGCAGAAGUCCAGGCCUUAGGGCACUCAGAGCUGCGGGCACCUCUGCCCCCACCCCUAUCCCCAGCCACGUGUGUGCCCACUGCAUGACCCUCACCUCUCUGACCUCAAUCUCUCACCUGCAAAAUAGGACUGCUAAGUCCUGCCUCAUGGAACCACAGGGAGGCCGGAGGAGCUAGAGUAGAGCCUUAAUAAAUGCCAACUGCCCACAGUGCUCGGAAAGCACUCGUGGGAGGCUUUUUCUCCUGCCUUUUCUGUUCUGGCUUGGCUGAGUAAUUCCGAAAGAUGUAAAACCUCUUCAGAGCCUCAGUUGCCUGCUACCAGGGGAUGAUAAUGGAGGUGACUUCAGAUUUCGUUGAGCAAGACUGUACUUGCCCACCACUGUACCCACAAUCAGAGUCAAGCCCAAACUCCAGCUCCCAGCCCUGUUUGACCUCCCCUCUGGGUCUGCUCUUAGGGCUCUUUGGCUGUUCCCACAUCUGAUGGUCUAGUGUUGACACUGGGUGGCUCCAGUGCUUGGAACAUGUCUCUCGGGAACCCCGUGCACUCAUUCCCUCACCUGUGUCCAGGGCUUGCUCAAAUCUACCCCUCUGCCCUGCUUGACUCCUGCAAUACAUCAAACUUCCAGCAUGGGAGCCCCCUUUCCCAGAUGCAUGAUCUUUUUCUCUGUGGCCACUUUGCUUCUAACAGGCCCUGGAAGCCACCACACAUCUACAGUUUGUCAUCUCUUUGUCCCUGCUGUGUGGGCAGGAAGAUUCCCGCCUCUUCUGGUCACCUGGCAGCUAGAGAACCCAACAGUCCCAGUUAGAGCAGAGAAAGAUGGCUGAACAGAGCUGUACGAGCCUCUGACCGUGGCAUCCGGGAAGCAGAAACAGAAGACCUGUAAGUUCAAGGCCAGAAAAAAAAAAAAAAAAGAAUAAAGAAAGAAUAACCCAGAUCGAUAAGGACCUGGUUAUAGAAACCGUGACCACGAGACACUAUCCAGCAACGACAAGAACCACAGCAACAUGCAUCCACACGGGCCACAGGGGCGAUACCCAAGUUCCUGCAAGUUUCCUCUAUCAUUUUCUGUUAUGAAAAUAAAUUAGAAAGCCAGUCUAGGUUAGAGAGGGAGUUCCAGGCUAACCAGACCGGCAUGGGUCAAUUGUAAGUAAGCGAGUACAUUAAAUAAAUAAAAGCGAAGAACUAGAAUGUACAUCUAGACACGUUUAUAAGGAAGAGCAGACAGGGCUGUAGCUGAGUCUUGGCCGGUACUCGCGAGACCUUUAUUUCAAUCCCCAGUACCACAAAGAAGCAGGACUGAGGGACAGGCUGGGAAUCCCAGCUUCUGGAGAAAAUGAGAUGAGUGUGUGUCUGGGGGUGGGCAGGAAGUUCCAGACCUGCUGGGCAAUUCAGUGACAUUUUGUUUCAUAUUAAACUGUAAAGGGAAGCCAGGAAGAUACAACUCAGUGGUAGAGCACUUGCCUGCCUUAUGUGAGGCCCUGGGUUCAGCCUCAGUGCAAGACAGAAAGAAAAAUCAAGGAAAUAAAGUUAGGGUACAGUUCCUUCUAGAAGGAAAUGAGGGGAGGGCACCUAGGGCUUGCUUCAACCUGGGCUUCUCUCUCCUGGCUUUCUUUAACAGCUCCAUUCCCAGACCUGAUGUUCAUGUCUUCGCCCGGGUAAUUAUGUCCCAGGUGUUAACCCCACAGUUAUUUUUCGCCGCCCCUACGUAUGUUCUGUACUCUGUUUUAUGAAUGGUGUCCCAUGGUCUGCAGAUACACAGCCGGACGGGGAGACACACAUUCAGUGCCUCGCUGCUGGGUUUGUUCUUUUCUGUUUUUCAGUACCUGGGAAUCAAACUCGUGGCCUUGCGCUUGUUAGGGAAGCACUCUAAACACUGGGGUACAUCUUCAGCUGUAGUCCUUGCUACUUAUGAGAUUGAGGGUCACUCGAGCCCAGGAAUUUGGGGAUAACCAUCACAAGACACUAUCUCAAUAAAAUAAAUACGUUUUUUAUAUGUAUUUAGUGUGUGUGCAUCGUGGCCUGCGGUGAGGGCGUGCAUGCGAGCUAUGCACAUGUGCGGAGGUGAG
rnacentral:lncRNA from 1 species